CCUACGGGGGACAGCAGUGGGGAAUAUUGCACAAUGGGGGAAACCCUGAUGCAGCGACGCCGCGUGAGUGAAGAAGUAUCUCGGUACGUAAAGCUCUAUCAGCAGGGAAGAAAAUGACGGUACCUGACUAAGAAGCCCCGGCUAACUACGUGCCAGCAGCCGCGGUAAUAAGAAGGGGGCCAGCGUUAUCCGGAUUUACUGGGUGAAAAGGGAGCGUAGACGGCAGCACAAGUCUGGAGUGAAAUCCCGGGGCUUAACCCCGGAACUGCUUUGGAAACUGUGGGGCGGGAGUGCAGGAGGGGUAAGCGGAAUUCCUAGUGUAGCGGUGACAUGCGUAGAUAUUAGGCGGAACACCGGUGGCGAAGGCGGCUUACUGGACUGUAACUGACGUUGAGGCUCGAAAGCGUGGGGAGCAAACAGGAUUAGAUACCCUGGUAGUC
rnacentral:rRNA from 1 species